rnacentral:rRNA from 1 species
GAGUUUGAUCAUGGCUCAGAACGAACGCUGGCGGCAUGCCUAACACAUGCAAGUCGAACGAUGGCUUCGGCCAUAGUGGCGCACGGGUGCGUAACGCGUGGGAACCUGCCCUUAGGUUCGGAAUAACUCAGAGAAAUUUGAGCUAAUACCGGAUAAUGUCUUCGGACCAAAGAUUUAUCGCCUUUGGAUGGGCCCGCGUUGGAUUAGCUAGUUGGUGGGGUAAAGGCCUGCCAAGGCGACGAUCCAUAGCUGGUCUUAGAGGAUGAUCAGCCACACUGGGACUGAGACACGGCCCAGACUCCUACGGGAGGCAGCAGUGGGGAAUAUUGGACAAUGGGCGAAAGCCUGAUCCAGCAAUGCCGCGUGAGUGAUGAAGGCCCUAGGGUUGUAAAGCUCUUUUACCCGGGAUGAUAAUGACAGUACCGGGAGAAUAAGCUCCGGCUAACUCCGUGCCAGCCGCCGCAGUAAC